UGGGGAAUAUUGCACAAUGGGCGCAAGCCUGAUGCAGCCAUGCCGCGUGUAUGAAGAAGGCCUUCGGGUUGUAAAGUACUUUCAGCGAGGAGGAAGGCGUUGUGGUUAAUAACCGCAGCGAUUGACGUUACUCGCAGAAGAAGCACCGGCUAACUCCGUGCCAGCAGCCGCGGUAAUACGGAGGGUGCAAGCGUUAAUCGGAAUUACUGGGUGUAAAGCGCACGCAGGCGGUCUGUCAAGUCGGAGGUGAAAUCCCCGGGCUCAACCUGGGAACUGCAUCCGAAACUGGCAGGCUAGAGUCUUGUAGAGGGGGGUAGAAUUCCAGGUGUAGCGGUGAAAUGCGUAGAGAUCUGGAGGAAUACCGGUGGCGAAGGCGGCCCCCUGGACAAAGACUGACGCUCAGGUGCGAAAGCGUGGGGAGCAAACA
rnacentral:rRNA from 1 species